rnacentral:rRNA from 1 species
GACUACACGAAGCUGGAAUCGCUAGUAAUCGCGGAUCAGAAUGCCGCGGUGAAUACGUUCCCGGGUCUUGUACACACCGCCCGUCACACCAUGGGAGUCGGUAACGCCCGAAGCCAGUGACCCAACCUUAGGGAGGGAGCUGUCGAAGGCGGGACGGAUAACUGGGGUGAAGUCGUAACAAGGUACC